rnacentral:rRNA from 1 species
CCUACGGGGGGCUGCAGUGGGGAAUCUUGCGCAAUGGGCGAAAGCCUGACGCAGCCAUGCCGCGUGAAUGAUGAAGGUCUUAGGAUUGUAAAGUUCUUUCGCUCGUGACGAUGAUGACGGUAACGAGAGAAGAAGCCCCGGCUAACUUCGUGCCAGCAGCCGCGGUAAUACGAAGGGGGCUAGCGUUGUUCGGACUUACUGGGCGUAAAGCGCGCGUAGGCGGUUUUGCAAGCCAGAGGUGAAAUGCCUGAGCUGAACUUAGGAAUUGCCUUUGGGACUGCGAGGCUUUGAGGACGGAAGAGGUGAGUGGAAUUCCCAGUGUAGAGGUGAAAUUCGUAGAUAUUGGGAAGAACACCGGUGGCGAAGGCGGCUCACUGGUCCGUUUCUGACGCUGUAGCGCGAAAGCGUGGGGAUCAAACAGGAUUAGAUACCCCAGUAGUC